ensembl:lncRNA
CAGUUAUAAUGCACAGGAUACAGAGUAUUGACGCUACUGUAAUUUCCUGACACUAAAGCUGGAUUUCCCAUUGCCAACCAGCAUUUAGCACGACUGAUGACUGAUUAAUGAUUCUGAAUGAAAGGAACACCUUCCAGUGGCACAGCGGAGCUGUAUGCAUCCCUAGAUGGACCCAGGCUUAAGGCUGCAUUGAGAUAGUUGUCAGAUGCUGUGAGCUGCUGCACUGUACAUCUGCGACAAAACUAAAGGCUCAGGGAGAGAACUUCCUGCUCCGUAUGUACAGUUAGAGAAAUGCAAGGCUAUUAAGGAAGCUCCUGGCAGAAGGACAACUCGUAAAAAUCAGGAAGACUGGAAAAGGUACACCAGGAAGCAACGCUCCGUUCUAUGUCAGCGGCGACGUUCUCAAUGAGAUCCGCAACCGCAGGGCUCAUAACCGACUUCUGAAGCCAACAGAUACGAAAUAUUUCAGCGCUCACAUAAAACGCCGUUAUGAGAAGUUGUAACUUUUCACAGCGUUUGCAAAAGCGAACGGGAACAGCGCUCUCCCAUCCCGCAGCACCGCCGAGCGGGGAACCGCGGGGCAGCGCUGCCUCCGAACGCCCCCCGCUCCGCGCUGCCGGUCCCGCAGCCGCGGGAUGGGGAAGGCAGCGCCGCGCGAGAGCUCCUCGACCGGCCUCCUCCGCGGCCGCGAGCAGCUCGGAAUCACCGCUAACCAGCGGGACUCAACACCCGAAGUGCCACCGCGGUGCCUACGCGCCGGCGGCUCCCUCCCGGCGGGGCGGGGACGGACAUUUUCUCGCCCCCGCUGCCGCCCUGCUCGGCCGGGGGACAGCGACGUACAACCAGCGGGCCGAAAGAACUCCCCC